AAAACAAAACGGCUUGGCUGGAAAGGGCUUCUGUGUGGAUGUGAUGGGGACGCCGGGGGAGGGGCUGGGUCGCUGUUCCCAUGCCCUGAUCCGGGGUGUCCCCGAGAGCUUGGCAUCCGGGGAAGGUGCUGGCGCUGGUCUUCCGGCUCUGGAUCUGGCUAAAGCUCAAAGGGAGCAUGGAGUACUAGGAGGUAAACUGAGGCAACGACUAGGUCUGCAGCUUCUUGAACUGCCUCCUGAGGAAUCACUGCCGCUGGGACCACUGCUUGGUGACACGGCUGUGAUCCAAGGAGACACGGCUCUAAUCACAAGGCCCUGGAGCCCAGCGCGUAGGCCUGAGGUUGAUGGAGUCCGCAAAGCUCUCCAGGACUUGGGGCUCAGAAUUGUGGAGAUGGGGGAUGAGAACGCUACGCUGGACGGCACCGACGUCCUCUUCACCGGUGAGGCUACACCUAUGGGGGCUUGGCCCAGGGAAACAGAGUUUGGGAGGCUAGGCGAUCUCAAGUCUUGAUUCCAAACUCACUCUGGCCUUCAAACCUUCGUAUCCUCCCGGGGUUCAGGCCGGGAGUUUUUCGUAGGCCUCUC
rnacentral:lncRNA from 1 species